rnacentral:lncRNA from 1 species
UUUAGGUCGGGUUUUUGAUCAAAUGCAAGUUUCCGAAGUUUUAGUUUGACUUAGGCUUGAAUUCGUGGUAAUUUGAUGAUUCUUGUGUUGUUGGAUGUGGUUUUAUGAUUGGAACGUGUUUGUGUGAUGUUCUAGGAUGGGUUGGAACUUUUGGUUGAGGUCCCGGGGACGUCGGGGUGGUUUCGGGUGGUUUGACGGAAGGUUUUUGGCUUUAGGGAGUUGCAGAAGUGCAGCAGAAAUGUUGCAGAGGAAUUGCUCUAUGUGAUUGCAUAGGGGGCAUUGCGAUCGCAUAGAAGACCGGAGAGGAGCCUGUUUUGUGCUAUGCGAUCGCAUUAGGUUCCAUGCGAUCGCAUAGGUUUGGGAACUUGAGCAGUGCGUUCGCACAAGGGCGG